rnacentral:SRP_RNA from 1 species
CAUGGGUCCCUUCGCAAUGAUCGGUUGUAAACUCCGCCAGGCCCGGAAGGGAGCAACGGUGACAACAAAAUCAGGUGCUGAAGUCAGGCUGGUGUGG